GGAGUUCCUGCAGGGGCGAGCUGGGAACACAUGAUGAUAAGGCGGUCUAGCCUGUCGUGUGUUCUCAGGUCGCCCCUGUCGGGGCUCU
rnacentral:pre_miRNA from 1 species